AUGCACGCUGGCGGCGUGCCUAAUCCAUGCAAGUCGCGCGAACAGACGAGGAGCUUGCUCCUCUGACGUUAGCGGCGGACGGGUGAGUAACACGUGGAUAACCUACCUAUAAGACUGGGAUAACUUCGGGAAACCGGAGCUAAUACCGGAUAAUAUAUUGAACCGCAUGGUUCAAUAGUGAAAGACGGUUUUGCUGUCACUUAUAGAUGGAUCCGCGCCGCAUUAGCUAGUUGGUAAGGUAACGGCUUACCAAGGCGACGAUGCGUAGCCGACCUGAGAGGGUGAUCGGCCACCCUGGAACUGAGACACGGUCCAGACUCCUACGGGAGGCAGCAGUAGGGAAUCUUCCGCAAUGGGCGAAAGCCUGACGGAGCAACGCCGCGUGAGUGAUGAAGGUCUUCGGAUCGUAAAACUCUGUUAUUAGGGAAGAACAAAUGUGUAAGUAACUAUGCACGUCUUGACGGUACCUAAUCAGAAAGCCACGGCUAACUACGUG
rnacentral:rRNA from 1 species